rnacentral:rRNA from 1 species
GACGAACGCUGGCGGCGUGCCUAAUACAUGCAAGUAGAACGCUGAAGAGAGGAGCUUGCUCUUCUUGGAUGAGUUGCGAACGGGUGAGUAACGCGUAGGUAACCUGCCUGGUAGCGGGGGAUAACUAUUGGAAACGAUAGCUAAUACCGCAUGACAUUGAUUAUCGCAUGAUAAUUGAUUGAAAGAUGCAAUUGCAUCACUACCAGAUGGACCUGCGUUGUAUUAGCUAGCUGGUGAGGUAACGGCUCACCAAGGCGACGAUACAUAGCCGACCUGAGAGGGUGAUCGGCCACACUGGGACUGAGACACGGCCCAGACUCCUACGGGAGGCAGCAGUAGGGAAUCUUCGGCAAUGGGGGGAACCCUGACCGAGCAACGCCGCGUGAGUGAAGAAGGUUUUCGGAUCGUAAAGCUCUGUUGUAAAGAGAAAGAAACGGGUGUGAGA